CACAGGGUUCGGGGCAGAAGCGCCACCACUUCUCACAACCCCACUGCGACUACGUCCACUAAGCCAACCGUGGGUCUUUCCUGGACUCUUGCCAUAGCUCCCGGAUGGUCUCCUGGCUUCACGUUUUGCCCUGUUCCAGUACAUCAGCCACAUCACAGACGGAGUCCACCUCUUAAAACAAUAACUCUACUCACAUCAUCUCAGUUGCAACUUCUCUGGACCUCUUUGUAUGGACCAUCGAGUUCACACGUCAGUGACAAUGGAGAAAGAGGAUUAGAGUCAUAGGAAACAAGAAAAAAAGGGGAAAAAAGAGGAAGGAAGAAAAGGAGGAUAGAAAGAGAGGAACAAAAAGAAGAAAUUUUACAAUUAAUCAAGAUGCUGCUUCUGGGAGUCUGGAGCAGACCAAGGAUUCUGCAUUUCUAACAAGCUCCCAAGUGAUGCUGAUGCUGUUGAUCCAGGGACCACACUUUGAGCAGCAAGGAUCUAGAGGAAAUCAUUAACCAGGGCUUCAGACAGACCAGGACUAGCAACAAAGCUCCACCACUUAAUAAGCAUAUGAAUUACGGCCUGUUUGUGUACCAGAGAAAGAACUUCGACAUAAAGGAAAAAGCCUCUAAGAGCUGACAGUGGAGUGAAGAUAGCACUAUACAGCGGGGGAAAGAAAGAUAAAGUGAGGAGAAUGAUUAGGACCCCAAGAGCUUCUUAUCCUUAACUUGGAAGAGCCAGAAACCAGCAGCAAGUGAAUGGAGAGGAAGUAGUGAAUAAAACCAAAACCAUCCAACUAAACCUUGGAGCAAAGAGGAGAUACUUUAAAUUGAAUGUAAGGUGAAUUUUUAAAACAUUCUUUUGGUUGGGAAUUUUUAGUAGUCAAAAAUAAGGGCUCUUCACUAAUACCCAAAAUUUGCUGUAAAAGCAACUGGUUGCACGGUGGUUU